ACAAAGACGCAGAGGGGAAAGUAUGCGAAGGAGCGCAAAGAAGAAACUGGAAAUUAAGAUCGCUGAAUUGGAGGCAAUCCUGGCAAAGGAGAGAGCAAAAGCGCAGAAAUACAAAAAGAGAGAUAUCAGAGGGCUAAGAAAGAAGGAGCUUCCACUACGUCACCACGUACAGCUGUAAAAGCUUUGUUGGGCCGUCAGAAGGUGAGGUCUCCUGUCAAAAAGGCUCUACUUUUUCAUGCUGCUUUAGUGGAAGAUAUCCGAUCCAAAUACAAAAAAUCAAAAGCAAAUAAGGAAAAGCAGCUGAUCGCUAAAGUUGUCACUGGAAACAUAGUGAAAAGGUACAAGCUCCAAAGCUAUGCCAGGUCAGCUUUUGGGUACUCGAAGAAGAGAGCCAUACAUCCUCCUGACAAUCUCACCUACAACGGUAGAAGAAGAAGUGUCCAUCAAAUGCAGUUAAGAAACAACAUUACUUUUAUUAUCUUUUUUCCUGCGAGAUGACGUCAGCCGAAUGACAACCAGUCGCAAGCAAACCAUUACACUGCGCAAGAAGAAGAUGCAGAAGAGGUUGUUAACUGACACAAGAAAAAAAUUGUACCAGAAAUUUUUGUCUGAGAACCUUGGAAAUGUGUUUUACACCACAUUUUGCAGCUGCAAACCAUUUUGGGUGGUAAGCCCUUCCCCCUCUGACCGGGAUUCAUGUUUAUGCAAGAAACAUGAGAACUUGCUAUUCAUGAUGGAUGCUUUACAGAGCUGCGGGUUGCUGCAUCACCGAGAUAUUGAACAACUGGCUCAGGAAACCAUGUGUGAUUCCAAAGCGAAGGCCUGUGCGUAUGGGGAGUGCAGGGAAUGCCUUUAUACAUGUCAGCCAAUGCUGCGACAUCCUGGACAAGAUGGUGUCACUUUUUGCCAAUGGACAACUGAGAAAAUAGAGAGAGAUGACAAAAGCUCCACAAUUACAGUCAAGAAGGUGUUGGAAAUGUCAGAGGAUGAACUAAGCACACAGUUCCACAACAGCCUUUUCCAUUUCAGGCGCCAUAUUUUUAACAUCAAAUGGCAGUAUGACGUUUACCGUAAGAUUAGAAACAACCUCAGGAGCACUGAGUGUCUCAUACAUAUUGACUUCAGUGAAAACUACUCCUGCAAAUACCACAAGGAAAUACAGUCUGUGCAUUUUGGGGGCUCACACCAACAGGCCAGUCUGCACACUGGAGUGUUAUAUGUUGCAGGUGAUCAAGCACCACAGAGCUUUUGUACAAUCUCACCCUCCAGGAGACAUGACCCAGUGGCCAUCUGGGCCCACCUCGACCCCAUUCUGAACCAAGUGAGAGAGCAACAUCCUGAUGUCUGCACACUCCAUUUUUUUAGUGAUGCUCCAGCGACACAGUACCGUCAAAAGGGGAAUUUUUUCCACCUCUCUACCGAACCCUUCAAGUAUGGAUUCAAGCAAAUUUCCUGGCACUUUUUUGAAGCCAGCCAUGGGAAGGGGGCUCCAGAUGGGGUAGGGGGGGCCCUCAAGAGAACAGCCGACAAAAUUGUCGCCCAUGGAGAAGACAUUCCGAAUGCACAGACAUUGUAUGAGAAACUAAAAGGUCAAGAAAACUGUUCAAUUGACCUGCACUUCAUUCCAGAGUCAGACAUUGAGGCAAAGCCCGAGGCACUACAAGAAUCCACCAAGCCAUCAGCAUGAAACCUGGCGAAAUGAUGUACAGAGACAUUUCAUGUCUCUGUAAAUGGGAGGAAGGCACCCUGGAUUGUUCAUGUUUCAACCUUCAAAAAGUGUCCCUGCUGGCAUCUGAUCAGUCAAAAGUACAUGUGAAGGAACCAAUUAAAAGUUGGAGGCCAGAAGUCAUCGAAGAGAAGCACAUUGGUGAAUGGUGUGUAGUCAACUACGACAAUGAUGGAUACCCUGGUAUCAUUCUCGAUGUAGAGGAGCACAGCGUGAAAGUUAAAUGCAUGCACAACAAAGGAAUCAACAAAUUCUGUUGGCCAAGUCCUCGUGAUGACAUCAACUGGUAUGGGGAUUGGCAGAUUCUGUGCCUCAUGCCGGAACCACAACUUGUUAACAGGCAUGCUUUCUCAGUUGAGCCAUCUGUUUGGAAGUACAUGGAGGACCAAUUACAGUAGACCUAGAUACGUGUCCUAAUGUUCUGUUGAGUAGGCCUACGCUAGAUGUUUUUUGAUGUUCUGUUUUGAUGUUCUGUUGAGAAGCAUAUGUGUUCUGAUGUUGGUGUAUGAAUUAACUGAGUACAGUUUGUACCUAACUCAUCCUUUUUAAUGUUUUUCUGUACUUAAUGAAUUGCAUUUGUCCACCCUGUCAUGUAAUUUUCCACCCUAUCGUGCCGAUGUCCACCCUGUCAAAUUUAAGUUUAAUGAAAAAAACUAAAUAUGUAUUGAAUAUAAAGUAACCCUGUGUGUGAUUUCCUGAUGUCCAAAUGAUGACCAAACAAAACCAUUAAAAAGUUUUGCUAGUUACAUUUGUUUUUGUCAUUUUAUUUUAAAAACAAUGAAGACCUAUGGCCAUCGCUGUAGAUGAGCUGUAAUUUUUUUCUAAUUUUAGU
ensembl:lncRNA